rnacentral:lncRNA from 1 species
GGAUCACUACCUACAUGGUUACUCAGGGGUGGCUUUGCUUGGUUAAUCCGUUAUGGGGGCCACUCCUGUUUGGUUACUUAUGUAGGCUUCAGCUAAACUGCGUCCCUCUAGCCCUAGUUUUUAAUGUACAUAUGAACGAUGGUUUUUGGGAAUCUUGUGGUUUAAAUUAGAAAAGUCGUUGGAUGUCUGGGUGACUCCUUCAGAGUUUUUAGCGACAUGAUUAUGAUUUCAUAAAGCAUGAUUCUAUAUUUGAUGUUUAUAGAUUGUGAUCGAUGGCCUGUUUUUAUUGGAUAUCACAUACUUGUAUUAUUGUCACUCACCCGAGCUUCACAGCUUAUACGAGUGUCUGAUUUGCCCAGUGUGUCAUCUUCUUGAUGUAGGCAUGAUUGUACAUAUGACAGGUUUGGGGUGAUUACGAGAAGCAGCUUGGUAUUUUAGUUACAUUGAGUGGUCCGGAACCCAAGAUUGUUGGAUUCCGUUGAGUGGUACGAAAUCCUUGCUCUUGCUCAUUUCCAUAAGGUUAGUCUAGAACCCUAGAUUCGAAUGAAUGGGAAUUAUCCCUAAUCGGUGUUAUGAAUAUAAAUUACAAUUACCAUGAUUAUUACUCAUAAUCCAAGUAGGGAAUUAUAUAGAGUCCCUUAGUUAAAUUCGUGAAAUGAUAAGUUAUCGCAUUAAUUGAUUAACGUAAAUAAAUGCUAAGAUCAUGGAUUUUUUAUUCAUGAAUUGAUUAAUUGACGGGAUUGCAUAAUGACUUUGGAUAUGGAUGUUAUUAUUACGAUUAUUUUAGUUGAUCAAUGUGGCUUGAGAAGAAUAUUGUGCUUCGUCAUUGGUUGACAUAUCGCAUGGUAUGCAUUGUGAUAUACUGUUAAGACUUAGCGAUUUAUGUGAUGGAUGUUUGAGUGUAGUAAAAUGACGAACUACGAAUGGCUUGAUCCCUAUUGAGGGUACGUAGGUAGUCUAAUGGGAGGUUAGACGCAGCCAUAAAGCAUACAAAAAAUUGUGUAGUAAUUUUUUUGUACUACGCAAUUCGAGGCAUGGGAUGUGCUAGGUACAUAUCCUGGAGGUGGGUAUGUUAGAUAUAUGGUUAUUUGAUGACGUCACAUGUCGAUCCUGGAUGUAUAUCGGGAUCGGGGCGUGACAAGGUAUAAAAUCCUAAUUCACUCCCUCAUUCCCAUGUUAAUUGAGUUUUAUUAUUUUAGGUUCAAUUUGUUAAGUUAUGUCAUGUAAGGAUUAAAAAGUUGUCAUCGUUCCGAACCUUUUAUUAAACUGUUGUGAUCAUUGUGUUGGAUACAUAUAUUGUUUAUGUUAUUUUCAGGGUUUUGGGAAAUGUUUUAAUUAUAGGGGAGGUUAUGCCGAAAUUUUAGUAGGAUUUGUUAUUAGUUUUGGGUUAAUGAUUUUUUUUCAUCUCUUUGUAGCAAAGAAAAACACCUGGGGCCCUUAUCGGCGAAGGUCACUCGGGUGACCAAUGGUCAUAUCCCAAUCGGAUAUGAUGAGCGACAUCAGGCAGCACCAACGAUGGAACAACAUAGUGCAUUGGUCCACAACAUUGGACAUGUCGUGCGGACCUUUUGCCCUAUGAGGUGGAAGUCUUGGAAGGCGAUGCCAGAGGAGACGAAGAACAUGGUGCGCAAUCAAUAUCGCCGCCUUUUUAAUGCUUUUCAUGUAAAAUUUAUAUAUUUAUAUUUAUGACUGUCUUUUAUUACUAAUAUUUUCAAAAUAUUUGUUACAUUGUAGACAAACUACAAUUUGGGGGACAUGUUCGCGUACCUCAAUCGGCUCUUCUCCGAACACUAC